rnacentral:rRNA from 1 species
ACGAACGCUGGCGGCGUGCUUAACACAUGCAAGUCGAACGGAAAGGCCCCUUUGGGGGUACUCGAGUGGCGAACGGGUGAGUAACACGUGAGUAACCUGCCCUUGACUUCGGGAUAACUUCAGGAAACUGGGGCUAAUACCGGAUAGGAAUCCUUGCUGCAUGGUGGGGGUUGGAAAGCUUCGGCGGUUUUGGAUGGACUCACGGCUUAUCAGCUUGUUGGUGGGGUAGUGGCUUACCAAGGCUUUGACGGGUAGCCGGCCUGAGAGGGCGACCGGCCACAUUGGGACUGAGAUACGGCCCAGCCUCCUACGGGGGGCAGCAGUGGGGAAUAUUGCACAAUGGGCGGAAGCCUGAUGCAGCAACGCCGCGGGCGGGAUGACGGCCUUCGGGUUGUAAACCGCUUUCAGCAGGGGCGAAGCUUGUGGUGACGGUACCUGCAGAAGAAGCACCGGCUAACUACGUG